CUCCUUUGGCUCCAUCUCCAAAGGUUACAAAACUGGUAGCAUAUGACUUCAAGUCUUCAAGAUAGUGUUCAACACCUGUCAUGUGUCUAGAACACCCACUAUCAAAGUACCAGGUUUCUCUUGAAGAAGCUCUCAAGGAUGUAUGAGCUAUUAGACUUGUGAUCUUCUUCUUUUCUCUCCAUUCCUGUCUUGUUGUAACAUUAGGAAAGACAGGAGUAUAGAAUUCUUGAUGAACUCUCCUCGGAUAUCCGUGCAGCCUAUAGCAAAAAGGCCUAAUGUGUCAUUUCCUACCACAAUGAUGACAUGUCCAGUUAUAGAACCUGGGCAUAGGAUGUCCCAUCAGAUGUUGCGACAAUCCUCCUGACACAAACGUGCUGCUGAUUGGAGUAUGUAUAGUAGCAUUGUUGAACNNNNNNNNNAAGGCAUCAGUACCUUUGGUCAUCAUUUUAGCCACUUUUGUGACUUGAUCCAAAUCAGCAUUUAAUUUGGUUACUUCUUCAUUUUGUUCAGCAACUUUACACAGGAGGUUAGACUUCUCCAUUUCCAUCUGUUGAAUUUGACUACUCUGAUCUUCAACCUUAAUGUUGAGAUUAUCAAUGUUCAUGAGUAAGUCAUUUUUCUCAGCUUGUAGUUUACCAUUGAUCUUCUUUUGUUUCUCUAAUGCUUUGCAAACUUCUAUGCUUCUAUUAUGAAGGUCUUUAUAAGUAGCAGCUAGUUCUUCAUAAGUUACCUCCUCAUCACAUGAUUCUGAGUCA
rnacentral:lncRNA from 1 species